CAGUCGCCGCGGUAAUACGAAGGGUGCAAGCGUUAAUCGGAAUUACUGGGCGUAAAGGGUGCGUAGGCGGUUGUUUAAGUCUGUUGUGAAAUCCCCGGGCUCAACCUGGGAAUGGCAAUGGAAACUGGACGGCUAGAGUGUGUCAGAGGAUGGUGGAAUUCCCGGUGUAGCGGUGAAAUGCGUAGAGAUCAGGAGGAACACCGAUGGCGAAGGCAGCCCCCUGGGCCUGUACUGACGCUCAUGCACGAAAGCGUGGGGAGCAAACAGGAUUAGAUACCCCCGUAGUCCCUGUCUCUUAUAC
rnacentral:rRNA from 1 species